UACGUAGGGGGCUAGCGUUGUCCGGAUUUAUUGGGCGUAAAGAGCGUGUAGGCGGCCAGGUAGGUCUGCUGUGAAAACUCGAGGCUCAACCUCGAGACGUCGGCGGAAACCAUCUGGCUAGAGUCCGGAAGAGGAGAGUGGAAUUCCUGGAUGUAGCGGUGAAAUGCGCAGAUAUCAGGAAGAACACCCGUGGCGAAGGCGGCUCUCUGGGACGGUACUGACGCUGAGACGCGAAAGCGUGGGGAGCAAACAGG
rnacentral:rRNA from 1 species